GUAAGUGGGAGUGUCUGCUAUUCCUGCUUUCAAAGCCCCUAUCACUGGGUGUCCCAUCCUAACCUCAUCAACAUUGCUAAACUGGGAGCUUCUAAGGCACAGACUUAUAAUCUCUAGUUCCUUUGUUGUAUCCACCAUUUGCACUUGUGGUUGGGUGCAGCCCUGCGUGCAGACACCCCUGCCACUUCCCUGAAGCAUUGGGGUAAAGCAGCACUCCUCUUGGAC